AUGGGAGACCUCAAGGUGCCAAGCCUGCUAUGCUUGCUACUGCUCAUGCCACUCCUCUUGGUUCCUGGCUAUGAAGCCCAUACAUGCAGCAAGUUCAGCAAGACCUAUAUCGGCAAGGCUUCCUUGUGCAAGUAUGCUCCAUGUGCCAAGGCCUGCCACAAGGAGGCUUUGCCGAAGGGGAUGUAUGAUGUAACAAGCAAUAAGUUAAUAACACUUUGUUCUUCCAUGCUGGCUUCACCACUGGCACUACCCAAUACCCACCCUACCUCCGGGCUCCAGCUAGCAGCCGGAGGGGGAGAGAAACAAGCACUUGCAACCUUCAAUUUGUUAGCAGCCUGGGUUCGGGAAACAGUGAGCCCUUCGGUUGAUGUGCAAAUACACUAUCUAUGCGAGCAGAGCAUCCCAGCACAAUCAGAAGGUCAGAACAAUGUUCGGUACCAUCACAUGACACUAGGAGCAGCAUUGCAGAGCCCUCACACUCAAACUGUGAUUAAACCAUGUCAAAUCCGUUAUCGUUGCGUGGUGUACAAGAGUUUACUGUUCAAAUCUAUAGUGGUAUCCAGGGCGAGGCGAGUGGAGUAUAGGGAUGGCAAUGGGUACCCAUUACCCGCGUACCCUGUGGGUAAAAACCCUAUUAGGAUAAGGGACGGAUGGGUAAGGGUAUGUGAUAGCUCCACCUGUACCCAUACCCUGCGGAUGCCAUCCCUAGUGGUGGAGUACGCCACGACUACCCCCGCGAUGGUCUGCAUGGACGACCGCUUGGAACGAGCCGGGAUCGACGCAUCGGCUCAUCACGCUACACCUCACUGCCAGGUCAUGUUCUGCAUUGGUUCACCCACGCUGGCAAUGGGUGGCCUCUUGGAGGCAUCAGGGGAGUAUGAGCAGCGGUUUGUGGAAGGCCGGCGUAGUGGAAGGCGGCGGUGGGAAUUGGGGAUCGCUGGAUCGAGUGUUCGACAAGAGUCUGGUAGCGAAGAGUCGAUAUUUCAUCUUUUUGAGGAGUCACAUAGGACGUAUGAGGAGUGGCGAGCAGGGUACCCGCGGGUACCCAUACCCAUGGGCAAAACUGCCAUCCCUAAUAGUCGAUGUGGAGGCACGUGGUUAAUGGCGCCGGGCGGGACGGUGCGAGGUAAGGCGACGCGGGAUAUGCGGUCACACGGCCGUCUCAUUUCCUCAGCUGCUCGACUUCCCGAUCGAUGGUGGAGGUGCGUUACUGAUCGGAUCGCCUACUUUUUUGCCUCUUUCCUUGAGUUCAAGAGCCCACAAAUUCCUACCCAGAUUCAUUCCAUAUGUGAUGGCGGCCAUGGCGGCCUCUUUGCUUCCCUUCUCCUUACCCUUGGGGCUUGCAUCCCCUCUGCCUUCGAGGUGGUAGGUGCCGAGGUGCGUCCGCUUUCCCUCCCCGGUGUAAAACGGAGAGAAGAGGCGGUGACAGUGAUUCAUCGAGUAGAGGAAGCUACCACUAGGACAGAGUCCUCGAUGGCGAACACGAGGAGGUGGCUCCCGUUCUGGGAGGACAUUGGCAGCGCUCACAAGCCGGAUGCAGUGGAUAAAGGACCGUGGUUGGGUUGA
rnacentral:rRNA from 1 species